rnacentral:rRNA from 1 species
AUGGAUACGUGGUGGACGUGGCGGAGGAAACGUCGAGCCGCAACGACAUGUCUCACUUCCGCGUCUGGCUUCGCACGGCGGACAUCUGCCGCAUUCCGUCCCGCAAGCUCCUCUUCGUGGAGGAGCCGGCCCUGCCUCCCGCGCCGGCGGCGCGGAGCCGACCGCGGGUGUUCUCUCGGGCCCGUGCCGGCACUCUGCGAUCCCAUCGAAAUCCGUCAGGUGGGCGACCUCCCGGCGGCGCCUCGCCCACCGCAGCCUCCCUCUUCGCCACGGCCGCCUCCGCCACCUUCCCCGCCGUCUGAUGACGGCCAUGGCCCCGAUGCUGGCUCGUCAGGCCGCUGGAUGGAGGGGGAUGGCUUUUCUGCGAGGCGCGUAGUGGAGUCCAACGGUGGAUAUGUCCGGCGCUCCUACGCCGGAAAGGUGGACGCGGCGCCGCACCAUCGCCGGCAUGCACUCGCCGGCGCUGAAGGUGGUGACACCACGCCUUGUGGGGCUGGCUCCAUGGGCACGCCAGACUGCGCUGCUAUGGGGCCUGCUGAGACCAUGCGGGCUUUGACCAUAGUGGACUCUGGGGGCUGGUCCCAGGAAUCGCGGGUACGGGCUGACCCCGGGCCCGCCUCGUGCCAUGCAUCGGUGGAUGUUAUAGAUCUGAUGGAUGGCGGCCGCUCCCCCUCUGCGUGCAGCGGCUCGUCCAUCCAAUCCGCGAAGGUGGGCAGUAUGAUUGCUGCCCUACGUGGCAGUUCGGCAGGGGCGCGUGCGCGCUCACGGGAUGCCUCUGCUGCCUCCUGGUCGGCCUCCUGGUCGGUUCGGAGCACUGGUUCGGGUGGGGUCCGUCUCUCAGUUGACCUUGGCCUCGCUUUUGAGGCCUCGGUAUCCCCGCUGCAUGCGCACUGCUCCCCCCAGGCGGACCCACAUGAUCUUUCACCAAUAAGCACCCAUGCAGGCCUGGCCCACCCGGCUACACCCCCAUGCAGCAACCCAUUUGAUCCUCCCAGCGGAGCUGCUGCGUCACCCCAUAUGCUGGUUCCCCCCGCUCGGGCUGCUGCAACCAGCCCGUCUACCCCGCCUACCGUGCUCGAGCAGGUCCUAACGCAGAUUCGUGAACACAUACAUGCCCCCCUUCUGCCGCUCCUUGACGUGCAGCGUGGCCGGCGCAAGCGGCCAAUCAUUCCGGACGAGCUUUGCCGCCGCAGUGCAAGAUUGCAACAGAGUGCCAAGUCCUUGCCGUCGUCAUACAUCAAGCGGGCCCAACGGGUCUUGAUGUCCAAGAUGGGCAUCUGUGAGAUAGAGAAUGAGCCGCCGGUGGACUGUUUGCAGAAGUAUGCGCAGCUGUUUCGGAGGCCGCUGCCUCAACAACGCAUCGACGCCCUGGCGAGGCUUUUCUCCCUAGACGUCCCCCUUGAGGAGUCCUCGCUGUCUCUAGAAUCCUAG